CAGUCGCCGCGGGAAUACGUAGGGUGCGAGCGUUAAUCGGAAUUACUGGGCGUAAAGCGUGCGCAGGCGGUUAUGUAAGACAGUUGUGAAAUCCCCGGGCUCAACCUGGGAACUGCAUCUGUGACUGCAUAGCUAGAGUACGGUAGAGGGGGAUGGAAUUCCGCGUGUAGCAGUGAAAUGCGUAGAUAUGCGGAGGAACACCGAUGGCGAAGGCAAUCCCCUGGACCUGUACUGACGCUCAUGCACGAAAGCGUGGGGAGCAAACAGGAUUAGAUACCCGGGUAGUCCCUGUCUCUUAUAC
rnacentral:rRNA from 1 species